rnacentral:rRNA from 1 species
AUUGAACGCUGGCGGCAUGCCUUACACAUGCAAGUCGAACGGUAACGCGGGGGCAACCCUGGCGACGAGUGGCGAACGGGUGAGUAAUACAUCGGAACGUACCUGGUAGUGGGGGAUAGCCCGGCGAAAGCCGGAUUAAUACCGCAUACGCACCACGGUGGAAAGCGGGGGACCGCAAGGCCUCGCGCUAUCAGAGCGGCCGAUGGCAGAUUAGCUAGUUGGUGGGGUAAAAGCCUACCAAGGCGACGAUCUGUAGCUGGUCUGAGAGGACGACCAGGCAGACUGGGACUGAGACACGGCCCAGACUCCUACGGGAGGCAGCAGUGGGGAAUUUUGGACAAUGGGGGAAACCCUGAUCCAGCGAUGCCGCGUGUGUGAAGAAGGCCUUCGGGUUGUAAAGCACUUUUGUUCGGGAAGAAAUCUGUCGGGCUAAUACCCUGGCGGGAUGACGGUACCGGAAGAAUAAGCACCGGCUAACUACGUGCCAGCAGCCGCCGCCG